GAGUUUGAUUAUGGCUCAGGAUGAACGCUGGCGGCGUGCUUAACACAUGCAAGUCGAACGAACGACUAUUAACAGAACCUUUCGGGGCGAAGAUGAUAGAAGUUAGUGGCGGACGGGUGCGUAACGCGUGGGUAAUCUGCCUUUGUCAAAGGAAUAACUAUUCGAAAGAAUAGCUAAAACCGUAUAAAAUAUUAAUAGGGCAUCCUAAUAAUAUCAAAACGAUAGUGGACAAAGAUGAGCCCGCGUCUGAUUAGCUAGUUGGUGAGAUAAAAGCCCACCAAGGCAACGAUCAGUAGCCGACCUGAGAGGGUGAACGGCCACAUUGGAACUGAGACACGGUCCAAACUCCUACGGGAGGCAGCAGUGGGGAAUAUUGCACAAUGGGGGGAACCCUGAUGCAGCAACGCCGCGUGAGUGAAGAAGGCAUUCGUGUCGUAAAACUCUGUAGUAGGGGAAGAAAGAA
rnacentral:rRNA from 1 species